rnacentral:misc_RNA from 1 species
AAGUCGUAACAAGGUUUCCGUAGGUGAACCUGCGGAAGGAUCAUUAACACGUAUCCACGUUUAUCAACCAAUACCACGAACCGUUCUCCCCGAGACACUCCUAACUCUUAGCUGUCGCAUGCGAUUAUUAUGGGUCUACAGACUAUUGGGCUUGCUCAAAAACCUGGAGACAGAUUGCAUGAGGCUUGUCGCUCCUUGAGGGCGUGGCUGGGUACCUGGUUUGUCGGGCUUUAAUUUCAAUCUUGGAACCUUCCCAUAUACUUGGUUCUAGGAGCGAUCCCCAUACCAUUUUCACCCUAUUUUACCAAAUUGGCUAAUAUUUAUAUUCAUCGAGAGAAAUCUCGCAUGAAUCUCUAAGAUUUAUCUUAACUAAGCACAACUCUUAGCAAUGGAUAUCUUGGUUCUC